UGAGUAACACGUGGGUGAUCUGCCCUGCACUCUGGGAUAAGCCUGGGAAACUGGGUCUAAUACCGGAUAGGACCACACACUUCAUGGUGAGUGGUGCAAAGCUUUUGCGGUGUGGGAUGAGCCCGCGGCCUAUCAGCUUGUUGGUGGGGUAAUGGCCCACCAAGGCGACGACGGGUAGCCGGCCUGAGAGGGUGACCGGCCACACUGGGACUGAGAUACGGCCCAGACUCCUACGGGAGGCAGCAGUGGGGAAUAUUGCACAAUGGGCGCAAGCCUGAUGCAGCGACGCCGCGUGAGGGAUGACGGCCUUCGGGUUGUAAACCUCUUUCAGUAGGGACGAAGCGAAAGUGACGGUACCUACAGAAGAAGGACCGGCCAACUACGUGCCAGCAGCCGCGGUAAUACGUAGGGUCCGAGCGUUGUCCGGAAUUACUGGGCGUAAAGAGCUCGUAGGUGGUUUGUCGCGUUGUUCGUGAAAACUCACAGCUUAACUGUGGGCGUGCGGGCGAUACGGGCAGACUAGAGUACUGCAGGGGAGACUGGAAUUCCUGGUGUAGCGGUGGAAUGCGCAGAUAUCAGGAGGAACACCGGUGGCGAAGGCGGGUCUCUGGGCAGUAACUGACGCUGAGGAGCGAAAGCGUGGGUAGCGAACAGGAUUAGAUACCCUGGUAGUCCACGCCGUAAACGGUGGGUACUAGGUGUGGGUUUCCUUCCUUGGGAUCCGUGCCGUAGCUAACGCAUUAAGUACCCCGCCUGGGGAGUACGGUCGCAAGACUAAAACUCAAAGGAAUUGACGGGGGGCCCGCACAA
rnacentral:rRNA from 1 species